rnacentral:rRNA from 1 species
ACGAACGCUGGCGGCGUGCUUAACACAUGCAAGUCGAACGGAAAGGCCCUGCUUUUGUGGGGUGCUCGAGUGGCGAACGGGUGAGUAACACGUGAGUAACCUGCCCUUGACUUUGGGAUAACUUCAGGAAACUGGGGCUAAUACCGGAUAGGAGCUCCUGCUGCAUGGUGGGGGUUGGAAAGUUUCGGCGGUUGGGGAUGGACUCGCGGCUUAUCAGCUUGUUGGUGGGGUAGUGGCUUACCAAGGCUUUGACGGGUAGCCGGCCUGAGAGGGUGACCGGCCACAUUGGGACUGAGAUACGGCCCAGACGCCUACGGGAGGCAGCAGUGGGGAAUAUUGCACAAUGGGCGGAAGCCUGAUGCAGCAACGCCGCGUGCGGGAUGACGGCCGUCGGGUUGGAAACCGCUUUCGCCUGUGACGAAGCGUGAGGGACGGUAAUGGGUAAAGAAGCACCGGCUAACUACGU